rnacentral:lncRNA from 1 species
GAAUCUACCUUCCUGAUCAAGACACCUGAAAAGUAGAUAAUUGGCUUAAGGACUUCACAUUUGGCAUGGCAGGAAGAAGGCAUGAGAGGACUGUUCCUAAACUACAGAACAAGUGUUUCAGCAAAUGAUCAACCUGUGAAUCUGGGUGGUAGCCCAAUAACCCACCUCAGUGCCUUAGCCCUGCUCUAAAGGCAUGAUCAUGAGAGAUGAGCUAGCCACUUAGUCCUCUGCAUAUUCAGUGUGCCCCAUCAC